rnacentral:lncRNA from 1 species
AAUAAAUGAAUAAUAUGCACUCAUCAAAUUCCCCCACACUUAGCCUUUUACACGUCCUCGUGUAAACCAAAAGUUUGAUUUCCAAAAAAUUCUAUUCAACCAUAGUGUCAAAAGAUUUCAAGAUACAAAUAAUGACUAUCAACACUAAAUUUGCAGAAAUCUAAUCAACGCCUUAUCAAUUAACUCACAAUUACCAACUUUAUCAUUUCACCAAUGAAUUUCAUUAAAUCAAAUUGUAGCCACAUAAGUAACUUUUCCAAAAUCAUCAUACUUACUCAACUUAGUUACCAUGGAGCAAAAUCCGUGCACACUGACUCAUAACCAAGAACAAAUUUUUCUUGCUUUUUAAUUUUUUUCAUAGAACCUUCUUUUUAGCACAGAUGAAU